rnacentral:lncRNA from 1 species
CCAGGUGAGGCAGAAGAUGCAGAGCAGAGCCAAACUCUUCCAGACAGCGAAAACCAGCCUAUAAGAAGCAGGCAGUCUUCUCUGUGCAGUUACAGCUCUACCGGCCCUAGGUCCCAGCAGACAGGCAAGAGCCUGCACUGCAGGGUACAAGCCAGGUCGAUCUAUCAGAAACCCUUAUCCUGUCUCCAGUGAACACUGAGCUUUCACAGAACAAUUGUUGGAAUGUAAGGAGAAAGAGUUUUCUCUCUGAGACAAGGAAAAUCCAUUUAAAGGGAUGGAAGAUUGAUGUCCAUGGCAUCCUCUGAACCUAAGAUCCUAAGACAUGUCACCCAUAAUCUGGUCACACCAUCCAAAAGAAACCCUGAAGGCACAGGUAAUUAACAUGAAAUGUUCAAACAUACUUUGAAGACA